rnacentral:miRNA from 1 species
GGUGGAGGAGAAUAAGGGGCUGAGAGAAGAGAGAGAGCACAGUGUGAAGUUCCAUUUUGGAGAGGAUUUUAAGUAGCUCUGAGCUACGACGAGAGCUACCAUUGACUGGGUUCUACUCUGUGCCAAGCACUUUACAUCCCUCUUUC